rnacentral:rRNA from 1 species
UACGUAGGGUGCAAGCGUUAUCCGGAAUUAUUGGGCGUAAAGAGCUCGUAGGCGGUCUGUCGCGUCUGCUGUGAAAUCCCGAGGCUCAACCUCGGGCUUGCAGUGGGUACGGGCAGACUAGAGUGCGGUAGGGGAGAUUGGAAUUCCUGGUGUAGCGGUGGAAUGCGCAGAUAUCAGGAGGAACACCGAUGGCGAAGGCAGAUCUCUGGGCCGUAACUGACGCUGAGGAGCGAAAGGGUGGGGAGCAAACAGGCUUAGAUACCCUGGUAGUCCACCCCGUAAACGUUGGGAACUAGUUGUGGGGUCCUUUCCACGGAUUCCGUGACGCAGCUAACGCAUUAAGUUCCCCGCCUGGGGAGUACGGCCGCAAGGCUAAAACUCA